AGGGGAGAGACGGAAACUGUAAAGGUGCUUUCUGGGGAUGUGUCUCGCUGCCACCCAUGAUCCCGAUGCUCCCUAAUGUGGAACCUUUGUCCCAUCCUGGCAUCAGACAAUAAUACCAGAACUUGUCUUUCUGACGGAAACAUUUGUGCAUAAGGAACUGGGAUGUGGGUGGCCUUUGGAGGAUCUGUACCACAGCAAGAGGUCUUCUGAAGGCGUUUGGAUUCGUCCCAUCAUCCAUAUGUUAGAAUCUGGUGGAGAGAAGUGGCUGACGUUGGGCCAUACAAGAUGGUGGAAUUGGUGCCUGCAA